AUUGAACGCUGGCGGAAUGCUUUACACAUGCAAGUCGAACGGCAGCACGGGGCAACCUGGUGGCGAGUGGCGAACGGGUGAGUAAUACAUCGGAACGUGCCCAAUCGUGGGGGGAUAACGUAGCGAAAGUUACGCUAAUACCGCAUACGAUCUACGGAUGAAAGCGGGGGAUCGCAAGACCUCGCGCUCUGGGAGCGGCCGAUGUCGGAUUAGCUAGUUGGUGGGGUAAAGGCCUACCAAGGCGACGAUCCGUAGCGGGUCUGAGAGGAUGAUCCGCCACACUGGGACUGAGACACGGCCCAGACUCCUACGGGAGGCAGCAGUGGGGAAUUUUGGACAAUGGGCGGAAGCCUGAUCCAGCCAUGCCGCGUGAGUGAAGAAGGCCUCGGUU
rnacentral:rRNA from 1 species